GUCUUUUUGAAUUAAAUUUAAAGUCUAACCUGCCCACUGAAAUUUUAAAUGGCCGCAGUAUUCUAACUGUGCAAAGGUAGCAUAAUCAUUAGUCUUUUAAUUGAAGGCUGGAAUGAAUGGUUGGACGAAAUAUUAACUGUUUCAUUUAAAUUUUUAAUAGAAUUUUAUUUUUUAGUCAAAAAGCUAAAAUUUAUUUAAAAGACGAGAAGACCCUAUAAAUCUUUAUAUUUUGUUUAUUUUAAUUAUAAAGAUUAUUUUUAUUAUAAUAAAUUAAAGUAUUUUAUUGGGGUGAUAUUAAAAUUUAAAAAACUUUUAAUUUUUAAAUCCAUUAAUAUAUGUAUAAUUGAUCCAUUAAUAAUGAUUAAAAAUUUAAGUUACUUUAGGGAUAACAGCGUAAUUUUUUUGGAGAGUUCAUAUCGAUAAAAAAGAUUGCGACCUCGAUGUUGGAUUAAGAUAUAAUUUUGGGUGUAGCUGUUCAAAUUUUAAGUCUGUUCGACUUUUAAAUUCUU
rnacentral:rRNA from 1 species